CAGUGGCGCAGUGGAUAACGCAUAUGACUACGGAUCUGAAAGGGAAUGAUCAAAAGGUUGGACACUGUUAUCUCUGAAGGAUUAUAGGUCACACUGCCUGAGAGAGGGCCCGCCAUGGAGGAGUGCAGCAGACAGCCCAGGAGAGAGCUCACGGAAAUGCAGAUGCUGGGCCCUCCUCCUGGCCCACUCCCACUCGGGACAUCUAAGUGAUGGGCCUUUAUCACAAGUUCCCCCCAGGAGAGUCUGAUGCACACCAGUCUGGAAAGAAGUCUUCAAGGACAUCAGUUCAGCAACCCAGGGAAAAACAGAGAAGAAGGAAGGACCCAGCAAGCUCCUGGAGACGGACUAAAAACAGCAGCCUCUGAGCGCCAGCCCAGGGAGACCACCCCAAGUGCUGGACCCAGCGUAGGGCAGGGGUCUCCAACCUCUAG